rnacentral:misc_RNA from 1 species
GAUGAAGAACGUAGCGAAAUGCGAUACGUAAUGUGAAUUGCAGAAUUCAGUGAAUCAUCGAAUCUUUGAACGCAUAUUGCGCUCUCUGGUAUUCCGGAGAGCAUGCAUGUUUGAGUAUCAGUAAACACCUCAACUCCCUUUUCUUUUUUGAAAUUGGAGCUGGACUUGAGUGAUCCCAACGCUUUCUUCCAAGAAAGUGGCGGGUUGCUUGAAAUGCAGGUGCAGCUGAACUUUUCUCUGAGCUAUAAGCAUAUCUAUUUAGUCUGCCUAAAAAACAGAUUAUUACCUUUGCUGCAGCUAACAUAAAGGAGACUAGUUCUUGUGCUGACUGAUGCAGGAUUCACAGAGACAGCUUCGGCUGACUUUGUAAACUCGAUCUCAAAUCAAGUAAGACUACCCGCUGAACUUAAGCAUAUCAAUAAGCGGAGGG